GCUUGCUUCAGCAGCACAUACAUAUACUAAAAUUGGUACAACAUAGAGAAGAUUUGCAGGGGUCCUGCAUAAGGAUGACAUGCAAAUUUGUGAAGCGUUCCAUAUUUUU